CAAGGUUUAGUCUAUAGUAGGCAUUAUUAUUUACAUUAAUAAUUUGGUUGUGCGAUUCAACAUAUCUUGA
rnacentral:tRNA from 1 species